AGCAGGGGAUGGGGGCUGCCCCUCCUGGGGAGAUGGGGCAAGGCUGGGAGCAAAGCCAAGUCCAGGGAGCAGGGGCGCCUCCGGCAGGGCAAAGUGGGGAGUCCCAGGCC